rnacentral:rRNA from 1 species
AUGGAUGACUUCUACGUCACCAUCCCUUACGGCCUGGUAGUACUCGGCGGCGGCGUCGCUGGCUACGUCAAGCGGGGGAGCGUGGCUUCGUUGGCCGCUGCAGCAGGAUUCGGAGGCGCGCCCCUCCUCGCCGGCGCUCUCAGCAUCUGGGCCUUCACGGGUGGCCACUCUAGCUCCCUCUUCGCCACCGUCCGCACACCGAUCUGUGUCGAAGCUAGCGUCGACGUAACCCUUUACGACGAGCUCUUCGUCACCUCCAUAAACGAGAAACAUAUCCUUAGUCCUCUUCAGGCAAGAACCCCUUCUUGGACUGAUCCAUAUUGA